rnacentral:rRNA from 1 species
CAAACUGGAGAUGGCGACCGGCGCACGGGUGAGUAACACGUAUCCAACCUGCCGAUAACUCGGGGAUAGCCUUUCGAAAGAAAGAUUAAUAUCCGAUAGCAUAUAUUUCCCGCAUGGGUUUUAUAUUAAAGAAAUUCGGUAUGAGAUGGGGAUGCGUUCCAUUAGUUUGUUGGGGGGGUAACGGCCCACCAAGACUACGAUGGAUAGGGGUUCUGAGAGGAAGGUCCCCCACAUUGGAACUGAGACACGGUCCAA